UACAGAGGUCUCAAGCGUUUGUUCGGAUUCAUUGGGCGUAAAGGGUGCGUAGGCGGCGCGGUAAGUCGGGUGUGAAAUCUCGGAGCUUAACUCCGAAACUGCAUUCGAUACUGCCGUGCUUGAGGACUGGAGAGGAGACUGGAAUUUACGGUGUAGCGGUGAAAUGCGUAGAUAUCGAUAAGGAAGACCAGUGGCGAAGGCGGGUCUCUGGACAGUUCCUGACGCUGAGGCACGAAGGUCAGGGGAGCAAACGGG
rnacentral:rRNA from 1 species